CCUACGGGUGGCAGCAGUGAGGAAUAUUGGUCAAUGGGCGGAAGCCUGAACCAGCCAAGUAGCGUGCAGGAUGACUGCCCUACGGGUUGUAAACUGCUUUUAUACGGGGAUAACGCUCUUCACGUGUAGAUGUUUGCAUGUACCGUAUGAAUAAGGACCGGCUAAUUCCGUGCCAGCAGCCGCGGUAAUACGGAAGGUCCGGGCGUUAUCCGGAUUUAUUGGGUUUAAAGGGAGCGUAGGCCGCAUGUUAAGCGUGCUGUGAAAUGUUCGGGCUCAACCCGGGGAGUGUGGCGCGAACUGGCGACCUUGAGUGCGCGGAAGGCAGGCGGAAUUCGUGGUGUAGCGGUGAAAUGCUGAGAUAUGACGAAGAACCCCGAUUGCGAAGGCAGCUUGCUGCAGCGGUACUGACGCUGAAGCUCGAAAGCGCGGGUAUCGAACAGGAUUAGAUACCCGAGUAGUC
rnacentral:rRNA from 1 species